GGACUCCACUCCGCUCUGCUCCCAGCACCAUGAUCUCCCCAGCCCACGUCUUCCUCCUUCUCACUGGACUCUCCUAUGUCCAGUCAGAGGUUGUCCUGACACAGUCCUCCUCCGUACUGGCCCAGCCUGGACAGUCUCACAAACUGCAGUGCACCGUCAGUGGAUUUGACCUGAGCAGCUACUACAUGAAUUGGAUCCGACAGGAGCCCGGGAAGGGGCUGGAGUGGCUGGUCAGUUACUAUACUUCAAGUAGCAAUUACUACAACCCAGCCAUCAAGGACCGAUUCACAGCCUCCAAGGACAGAUCCAAUCUCUACUUACAAAUUGACAGACUCACAGCUGCAGACACGGCCCUGUAUUACUGUGCGAGAGACACAGUGUGGUGUAGUGAACGUGAGCCCACACAAAAACCUUCCCCUGCAGGGGGUCAGAAGGAGGCUGGGCAGCAGGAGACAUUUAGGACCCACUGA